rnacentral:rRNA from 1 species
UACGAGGUGACAGUCGGAUCGAAAAGAGAACAUGCGAGCGGCUCUCUGGCCUGUAACUGACGCUGAGGCUCGAAAGCGUGGGGAGCGAACAGGAUUAGAUACCCUGGUAGUCCACGCCGUAAACGAUGAGUGCUAAGUGUUGGAGGGUUUCCACCCUUCAGUGCUGCAGCUAACGCAUUAAGCACUCCGCCUGGGGAGUACGACCGCAAGGUUGAAACUCAAAGGAAUUGACGGGGGCCCGCACAAGCGGUGGAGUAUGUGGUUUAAUUCGAAGCAACGCGAAGAACCUUACCAGGUCUUGACAUCCUUCUGACCGCUCUAGAGAUAGAGCUUCUCUUCGGAGCAGAAGUGACAGGUGGUGCAUGGUUGUCGUCAGCUCGUGUCGUGAGAUGUUGGGUUAAGUCCCGCAACGAGCGCAACCCCUAUGUUUAGUUGCCAUCAUUCAGUUGGGCACUCCAGACAGACUGCCGGUGACAAACCGGAGGAAGGUGGGGAUGACGUCAAAUCAUCAUGCCCCUUAUGACCUGGGCUACACACGUGCUACAAUGGGAAGUACAACGAGCAGCGAACCAGUGAUGGUAAGCGAAUCUCUUAAAGCUUCUCUCAGUUCGGAUUGUAGGCUGCAACUCGCCUACAUGAAGCCGGAAUCGCUAGUAAUCGCGGAUCAGCACGCCGCGGUGAAUACGUUCCCGGGCCUUGUACACACCGCCCGUCACACCACGAGAGUUUGUAACACCCGAAGCCGGUGAGGUAACCAUUUGAGCCAGCCGUCGA